rnacentral:rRNA from 1 species
GAUGAACGCUGGCGGCGUGCCUAAUACAUGCAAGUCGAGCGAACAGACGAGGAGCUUGCUCCUUUGACGUUAGCGGCGGACGGGUGAGUAACACGUGGAUAACCUACCUAUAAGACUGGGAUAACUUCGGGAAACCGGAGCUAAUACCGGAUAAUAUAUUGAACCGCAUGGUUCAAUAGUGAAAGACGGUUUUGCUGUCACUUAUAGAUGGAUCCGCGCCGCAUUAGCUAGUUGGUAAGGUAACGGCUUACCAAGGCAACGAUGCGUAGCCGACCUGAGAGGGUGAUCGGCCACACUGGAAUUGAGACACGGUCCAGACUCCUACGGGAGGCAGCAGUAGGGAAUCUUCCGCAAUGGGCGAAAGCCUGACGGAGCAACGCCGCGUGAGUGAUGAAGGUCUUCGGAUCGUAAAACUCUGUUAUUAGGGAAGAACAAAUGUGUAAGUAACUAUGCACGUCUUGACGGUACCUAAUCAGAAAGCCACGGCUAACUACGUG